rnacentral:rRNA from 1 species
UGGGGAAUUUUGGACAAUGGGCGAAAGCCUGAUCCAGCAAUGCCGCGUGUGUGAAGAAGGCCUUCGGGUUGUAAAGCACUUUUGUCCGGAAAGAAAUCCUCUGGGUUAAUACCUCGGGGGGAUGACGGUACCGGAAGAAUAAGCACCGGCUAACUACGUGCCAGCAGCCGCGGUAAUACGUAGGGUGCAAGCGUUAAUCGGAAUUACUGGGCGUAAAGCGUGCGCAGGCGGUUUUGUAAGACGGAUGUGAAAUCCCCGGGCUUAACCUGGGAACUGCAUUCGUGACUGCAAGGCUAGAGUAUGGCAGAGGGGGGUAGAAUUCCACGUGUAGCAGUGGAAUGCGUAGAGAUGUGGAGGAAUACCGAUGGCGAAGGCAGCCCCCUGGGCCAAAUACUGACGCUCAUGCACGAAAGCGUGGGGAGCAAAACAGGAUUAGAUACCCUGGUAGUCCACGCCCUAAAACGAUGUCAACUAGUUGUUGGGGAUUCAUUUCCUUAGUAACGUAGCUAACGCGUGAAGUUGACCGCCUGGGGAGUACGGUCGCAAGAUUAAAAACUCAAAGGAAUUGACGGGGUCAUAGCUGUUUCCU